AGUUUGAUCAUGGCUCAGAUUGAACGCUGGCGGCAUGCCUUACACAUGCAAGUCGAACGGCAGCACGGAGCUUGCUCUGGUGGCGAGUGGCGAACGGGUGAGUAAUAUAUCGGAACGUACCCAGGAGUGGGGGAUAACGUAGCGAAAGUUACGCUAAUACCGCAUACGUCCUAAGGGAGAAAGUGGGGGAUUCGCAAGAACCUCAUGCUCAUGGAGCGGCCGAUAUCUGAUUAGCUAGUUGGUAGGGUAAAAGCCUACCAAGGCAACGAUCAGUAGCUGGUCUGAGAGGACGACCAGCCACACUGGAACUGAGACACGGUCCAGACUCCUACGGGAGGCAGCAGUGGGGAAUUUUGGACAAUGGGCGCAAGCCUGAUCCAGCAAUGGCCGCGUGAGUGAAGAAGGCCUUCGGGUUGUAAAGCUCUUUUGUCAGGGAAGAAAAGGGAUUGGCUAAUAUCUGAUCCUCAUGACGGUACCUGAAGAAUAAGCACCGGCUAACUACGUGCCAGCAGCCGCGGUAAUACGUAGGGUGCAAGCGUUAAUCGGAAUUACUGGGCGUAAAGCGUGCGCAGGCGGUUUUGUAAGACUGUCGUGAAAUCCCCGGGCUCAACCUGGGAAUGGCGAUGGUGACUGCAAGGCUAGAGUUUGGCAGAGGGGGGUAGAAUUCCACGUGUAGCAGUGAAAUGCGUAGAUAUGUGGAGGAACACCGAUGGCGAAGGCAGCCCCCUGGGUCAAAACUGACGCUCAUGCACGAAAGCGUGGGGAGCAAACAGGAUUAGAUACCCUGGUAGUCCACGCCCUAAACGAUGUCUACUAGUUGUCGGGUCUUAAUUGACUUGGUAACGCAGCUAACGCGUGAAGUAGACCGCCUGGGGAGUACGGUCGCAAGAUUAAAACUCAAAGGAAUUGACGGGGACCCGCACAAGCGGUGGAUGAUGUGGAUUAAUUCGAUGCAACGCGAAAAACCUUACCUACCCUUGACAUGGAUGGAAUCCUAGAGAGAUUUGGGAGUGCCCGAAAGGGAACCAUUACACAGGUGCUGCAUGGCUGUCGUCAGCUCGUGUCGUGAGAUGUUGGGUUAAGUCCCGCAACGAGCGCAACCCUUGUCAUUAGUUGCUACGCAAGAGCACUCUAAUGAGACUGCCGGUGACAAACCGGAGGAAGGUGGGGAUGACGUCAAGUCCUCAUGGCCCUUAUGGGUAGGGCUUCACACGUCAUACAAUGGUACAUACAGAGCGCCGCCAACCCGCGAGGGGGAGCUAAUCGCAGAAAGUGUAUCGUAGUCCGGAUUGUAGUCUGCAACUCGACUGCAUGAAGUUGGAAUCGCUAGUAAUCGCGGAUCAGCAUGUCGCGGUGAAUACGUUCCCGGGUCUUGUACACACCGCCCGUCACACCAUGGGAGCGGGUUUUACCAGAAGUAGGUAGCUUAACCGUAAGGAGGGCGCUUACCACGGUAGGAUUAGUGGCUGGGGUGAAGUCGUAACAAGGUAACC
rnacentral:rRNA from 1 species